UGUCUUCCUCAAUCUGUUAUAAUAAAACCCUGCAUUUGCAUUCAAACCCAUGAGUCUGACAGAAGAGUCUGAAAGCUACAUCAGGUGGUAGAGUUUGUGUGAAACGACAACAGCUAGACACCAUCCACACCACAUUAAAUGAACUAUAUAGCCAUCUUCAGCAGCUAGCCUCCAUCUCUUUUAUAGUUGGACAUCAAAACAGGACGGAGAUAUCCUGUUCAACAAAUAGCACAGAGAUCCAGCGGAAUACCAAGGUGUCCUCCUGCAGUGCUUGUUUUAUCUCUCUUCACAGUGCCACAUCACGGAUGAGAAGAUUUUUCAGUUGAUAUCCCUCCUCAUCGGCAAACCUGGGCUACAGUGGUGUGGUUCAUUAGGGGGGAGGUCACCCACACAACCAUCUUGCAACCAUUUUGGCACUUUCUUUCUCAACAUAUUGCAUGAGCCAGCUCUUAAUCCUGCUCUCUGCCAAGGACUCCAACAAGAUGCCUUCACAGAGCCAGCCAUAAUGGUCACUCAUCACUGGAUUCUCUAAUUGAUCUAGCCAUUCUCUUGGACAAAUUCCACCUACAGACAAGUAUUCUCACCUAGAGGAGAACCAGUAACCUGAAGCCAUGCACAUUGGGCAUGCCCAGCAGAACAUCUGUAGCACAGAGACAAGGGAUUGGGUUUCUACUGUGGAGAAGGCACAUACAUCAUUGCAAAGUUUCCAACACAGAUUCAAGAGUAUCUGCAAAACUAAGCCGGGUAGACCAGCCACAUGCUAAUGCGUUUGCCAGAAAGUUUCACCUGGACUAGAGGUGAGCAUCAGGAUUGGGAUCCCUCAGGCUGCAACAAACAGUCAGGCUUCUAAUCUGAAGUGGCACGCAUGAAGUCGAUUCUCCAAAACACUGAUGCUGAAUCUCCAUCCAUCCUAGCUCCUUCACACUUCCUCUGAAGCCAGAUGUUGUUAAAAAAAAAAAAAAAAAAGGAGGUUUCUGUAAUUAUUUUAAUGAAUGGGAGCCAGAAUGAGGUUGGAGAGCCUCUUGGGGACUGACUGAAAGGACUGCACACAUUUUAAAACCCUUUCCAUGAAAUAUUACAAGGCCAAGCUGAGAAAAUGUUUGUAGAAGACGUGUUUAAACAUCCUACUUCAAAUGGGGAUAAUAAGGAAUGGAUUUUUUUUUAUUGAGUCCAUAUGUUCUUGUAGAGUAGAAAGAAAAAGAGGUGAUUAUCUUCCUCCAUUAGUCUUCAGACUAAUGCAGUAGAGAUGACUGCAUACCAGAAGGAAUAAUAAAAUUAUGUU